rnacentral:rRNA from 1 species
ACGACUGUUGUGCGUCAGCAGCGGCGAGUGAGCGGCAAAAGCUCAAAUUUGAAAUCUGGCGUCUUUGGCGUCCGAGUUGUAAUUUGAAGAAGGUAUCUUUGGGCCCGGCUCUUGUCUAUGUUCCUUGGAACAGGACGUCACAGAGGGUGAGAAUCCCGUGCGAUGAGAUGACCCGGGUCUGUGUAAAGUUCCUUCGACGAGUCGAGUUGUUUGGGAAUGCAGCUCUAAGUGGGUGGUAAAUUCCAUCUAAAGCUAAAUAUUGGCGAGAGACCGAUAGCGAACAAGUACAGUGAUGGAAAGAUGAAAAGAACUUUGAAAAGAGAGUGAAAAAGUACGUGAAAUUGUUGAAAGGGAAGGGCUUGAGAUCAGACUUGGUAUUUUGCAUGCUGCUCUCUCGGGGGCGGCCGCUGCGGUUUACCGGGCCAGCAUCGGUUUGGAGCGGCAGGAUAAUGGCGGAGGAAUGUGGCACGGCUUCUGCUGUGUGUUAUAGCCUCUGACGAUACUGCCAGCCUAGACCGAGGACUGCGGUUUUUACCUAGGAUGUUGGCAUAAUGAUCUUAAGUCGCCCGUCUUGAACCACGGACCC